rnacentral:rRNA from 1 species
UCCCCCGGUUACCUUGUCCGGGCUUUCGGCUCGACUCUCCCACCCUUUGUGAACGUACCUCUGUUGCUUUGGCGGCUCCGGCCGCCAAAGGACCUCCAAACUCCAGUCAGUAAACGCAGACGUCUGAUAAACAAGUUAAUAAACUAAAACUUUCAACAACGGAUCUCUUGGUUCUGGCAUCGAUGAAGAACGCAGCGAAAUGCGAUAAGUAAUGUGAAUUGCAGAAUUCAGUGAAUCAUCGAAUCUUUGAACGCACAUUGCGCCCCUUGGUAUUCCGGGGGGCAUGCCUGUUCGAGCGUCAUUACAACCCUCAAGCUCUGCUUGGAAUUGGGCACCGUCCUCACUGCGGACGCGCCUCAAAGACCUCGGCGGUGGCUGUUCAGCCCUCAAGCGUAGUAGAAUACACCUCGCUUUGGAGUGGUUGGCGUCGCCCGCCGGACGAACCUUCUGAACUUUUCUCAAGGUUGACCUCGGAUCAGGUAGGGAUACCCGCUGAACUUAAGCAUAUCAAUAAGCGGAGGAAGAUCAUUCCGAGUUUUCGGGCUUCGGAUCGACUCUACACCUUUGGUGAACUUCCUCUUUUGUUUUGGGGGCUCCGGCACC